CAAAACCGCUGCCAGGGGAGCGCCCCUGCUAUUAAAUGCACGUCUGCACGGAGGCAUAAUCACAGACUGCUCAUGACAUUGACGCAUACCAAGAUUGUGGUCAGGUGGGGGUGUUUAACAGAAUCUUAAGAAACAGGUUUAUCGAGUUACAUUCCUAGGGCUAUCAGAAUGGAAGUGGACGAGUGAAAACAAAGAACUCUCUGCCUGAGCUCCCCCGACCGGCAGCGCCACACAAUGAGAACGAUGCUUGUCAGGAUGAUCUCGCAGCCCUACAGGAUUCUGGAGAGCUUCUGAAUCAUCCGAGAAAGAUUAAAUUAUGUUCAGGAGUGA